rnacentral:rRNA from 1 species
ACAAGUUAAUAAGAGCAACAGGCGGAUGCCUUGGCGCUGAUAGGCGAAGAAAGACGUGGUAGGCUGCGAUAAGCCUCGGGUAGGAGCCAAACAUCCUUUGAUCCGAGGAUUUCUGAAUGGGGAAACCCGGCGGGAGUAAUGUCCCGUCACCUUUUGGCUGAAUACAUAGGCCGAUUGGAGCAGACCUGGUGAAGUGAAACAUCUCAGUAACCAGAGGAAAGGAAAUCAAAAGAGACUCCCUCAGUAGUGGCGAGCGAACGGGGAAUAGCCCAAACCGUGUGGAUACGUCCAUGCGGGGUUGUAGGACCUUAAUGUGGGAUUCGUGAUUAGGCAGGAGAAGUCGGCUGGAAAGCCGCACCGUAGAGGGUGAUAGUCCUGUAUCUGAAACCGAAAGCGACCCUAGAGGCACCUGAGUACUGCGAGGCACGUGAAACCUCGUGGGAAUCCGGGAGGACCAUCUUCCAAGGCUAAGUACUAAUCAGCGACCGAUAGUGAAGCAGUACCGUGAGGGAAAGGUGAAAAGAACCCCUGUUAGGGGAGUGAAAUAGAACCUGAAACCUGUUGCUUACAAGCUGUGAGAGUGGAUUUAUUCCAUGAUCGCGUGCCUUUUGCAUAAUGAGUCAGCGAGUUAUUCUGUCCAGCGAGGUUAAGCGUAAGUGAAGCCGCAGCGAAAGCGAGUCUGAACAGGGCGUUAAGUUGGGCGGAGUAGACCCGAAACCGGGUGAUCUAUCCAUGUGCAGGUUGAAGCACGGGUAAAACCGUGUGGAGGACCGAACCAGUAAGGGCUGAAAACCUUUUGGAUGACGUGUGGAUAGGGGUGAAAGGCCAAUCAAACUCGGUGAUAGCUGGUUCUCCCCGAAAUAUAUCGAGGUAUAGCCUCAAGGAUUGUCUAUCGGAGGUAAAGCACUGACAAGGCUAGGGGUCCCACCAGAUUACCAAACCUUAUCAAACUCUGAAUACCGAAUAGAUGUACCUUGGGAGUCAGACUGCGGGUGCGAAGGUCCGUAGUCAAAAGGGCAAGAGCCCAGACCGACAGCUAAGGCCUCCAAAUUCAUACUCAGUGGCAAAGGUAGUGGAGUCGUACAGACAGCCAGGAAGUUGGCUUAGAAGCAGCCAUCUUUUAAAGAAAGCGUAAUAGCUCACUGGUCUAAUGAUUCUGCGCCGAAGAUGUAACGGGGCUAAGUAUGAUGCCGAAGCUUCGGAUCCGCACUAUGUGCGGGUGGUAGGGGAGCGUUCUCUACGGGAAGAAGGUCAAGCUGUAAGGCGGGCUGGACUGUAGAGAAGUGAUUAUGCUGACAUAAGUAACGAUAAAACGGGUGAAAAACCCGUUCGCCGUAAACCCGAGGAUUCCUGGGUAAAGCUAAUCUGCCCAGGGUUAGUCGGUCCCUAAGGCGAGGCCGAAAGGCGUAGCCGAUGGGAAACAGGUUAAUAUUCCUGUACCGGUAUGAACGCGCGAAGGAGGGACGCAGGAGGAUAGGUCAGCCAGCUGUUGGAAUAGCUGGUGUAAGCAUGUAGGUAGAAGCCGUAGGCAAAUCCGCGGUUUCAUAGCCAAGGUGCGAUGCCGUGGCCGCAAGGCCUGAAGUGAUUGAGUCCAAACUGCCAAGAAAAUCUUCUAAGUAUAGUUCAUGCCGACCGUACCGCAAACCAACACAGGUGGGUGGGUGGAAUACACCAAGGCGCUCGAGAGAACUCUGGCCAAGGAACUCGGCAAACUAACCCCGUAACUUCGGGAGAAGGGGUGCUCCUGCUGGUGACUGAAAUCAUCAUGAGCUGGCGGGAGCCGCAGAGAAAUGGCGGUGGCGACUGUUUACUAAAAACAUAGGUCUAUGCUAAGUCGUAAGACGAAGUAUAUGGGCUGACGCCUGCCCGGUGCCGGAAGGUUAAGAGGAGAGGUCAGCGCAAGCGAAGCUUUGAAUCGAAGCCCCGGUAAACGGCGGCCGUAACUAUAACGGUCCUAAGGUAGCGAAAUUCCUUGUCGGGUAAGUUCCGACCUGCACGAAUGG